CGAACGGGUGAGUAAUACAUCGGAACGUGCCCUGUCGUGGGGGAUAACUAGUCGAAAGAUUAGCUAAUACCGCAUACGACCUGAGGGUGAAAGCGGGGGACCGUAAGGCCUCGCGCGAUAGGAGCGGCAGAUGUCUGAUUAGCUAGUUGGUGGGGUAAAGGCCCACCAAGGCGACGAUCAGUAGCUGGUCUGAGAGGACGAUCAGCCACACUGGGACUGAGACACGGCCCAG
rnacentral:rRNA from 1 species